GAUGAAGAACGCAGCGAAAUGCGAUAAUUAAUGUGAAUUGCAGAAUUCAGUGAAUCAUCGAGUCUUUGAACGCACAUUGCACCCCCUGGUAUUCCGGGGGGUAUGCCUGUCCGAGCGUCAUUGCUGCCCUCAAGCACGGCUUGUGUGUUGGGUCGUCGUCCCCCCGGGGACGGGCCCGAAAGGCAGCGGCGGCACCGCGUCCGGUCCUCGAGCGUAUGGGGCUUUGUCACCCGCUCUUGUAGGCCCGGCCGGCGCUGGCCGACGCUGAAAAGCAACCAACUAUUUCUCCAGGUUGACCUCGGAUCAGGUAGGGAUACCCGCUGAACUUAAGCAUAUCAAUAAGCGGAGGA
rnacentral:misc_RNA from 1 species